GCAGCGGCUGCCGCGGAGACCGGGGAGUGGCGGCUGGCGACUGCGGGAAAGCACAGGGACGACCGCGGCUUCUGCGGUUCGUGACCCGCGAGAGCUCGGCCCCUGCCCUGGACGGGACAAGAAAACAGCAAGUUGCUUCCCAGCCCAGAUCUCCAAAUCUGCCAGAUGACCAGAAUCACACUGGUUAGAAACCCAGACCCCAGGGUCCCACUCCUGGCCUGCUAAGUCAAAAUCUCCCCGGCGAGGACCCAGCAUCCGUAUUUAACCGGGGCUUUUUUCAGAAGCUUAUGAAAGCGAGUGUGUAUUGUGACUCCUCAAGAUGAAGCUGCAACACGCAGCAUUUCUCACACUCAUUUCCCGUGGCACCUGUUUUCUGAGUGACUUGCAGAGCCCCUGUUCUGCAGAAUGUGCGCUGGGAAACACUGAACGGAAGUGACGGAGACCUUCCUGCAGAGUCUGGGUGAGGUAACAGAAAUGUGAAGACGCGUGAAGGAUGAUAUGAGAAGUCAUUCCGAGGCAGGAUGAACUACUGAAUUGUUUUUAAUUCAGACAAUCAAGAAAACAAACAUCAGGAAUGAGUUCAAGUCAAAAUUCCCAGGAGAAUGGAAAUAUCUCUAGGAGAAGUUGGGAGUUUUGUUCCAAUCACGCCAUGCUGUAUUGGAGAGAAAGGCUCUGGUGAGUGCAUGUCACAAAUUUUUCUGCUGAGCUUCAAUGCCGUUGGCUUCAUUCUCACCUGGGAUGCAGGUACUUCUUACCUGGUUUCUGGAUUUCUCACAAGGGCAAUUCAUCCAUGCAUUGUGGCUAAUUUAGUGUCUCCAUGGAAGAACAGGGAUCUGGGAAUUCCUAUUCCACCAUCUUACUCAGGUCGCUCCUCUUUGUUCAGUUCUUUUUAGACUCAGCUUGUAUCCCCACCUCAGGCAGCUGCAGUAUUAAACUGUUGCCACUAAUUGUGUUUGAGAAGUGUUCUAGGAAAGCUAGGAGCACAGAGGGAGCUCUGAAUAAGGUAAAACACAGAGAAGUCUGAAAAUGGAGCUUUUCAAGGAGCUGCCCUAAGGGUCAGAUAGUAACAAUUCUCUGGGGAUGGAGCUGUUAGGGAACUCCAAACCCAUUCUGGCCUCUCCAGUGGCUACUGUGCUGUUGUCUUUCACAGCCAUCAUAGUCAUGAUGUUUUUGGUUUAGGAUAUUGCAGGGCUGGUGAGAAGGAGGUGGGAAUAGGGCAAGUUAAAAUGCAUCAAAGCUUGCUCAUCUUACCAAGAUUCAGCAGGUUUUCCUUGGAUAAAUUUUUAUUAGUUAUUUGCAAGCCUUUGGUUAAUUUCCAUAGUUCUUGAAAAGUUAAUUUUCACAGUUUUUGCCAGUAUUCUCAUUGCUUUUAUAGAAGAAUGGAUUUUCAGAGGUCCUUACUCCAACCCUCUGGAAGUGCUUCUUCAAAUAUAAUUUUAAUAACCUGUCCCCUAAUGGUUCAACUAGCUACUCUUUCCAUUUUAUUGAAAGCAAAGAGUCAGUAAUGACCUGACCUGCAAAAGGAUUUGUCACACUGUCAUUAGGAUCAUUCACCCUCUCAGUUAUACAGAAUUUGGCUUUACCAUAAAGGCUUUACCAAAUCUUAGAUGCUGACUUUUAAUUUUUAUUCAUUCUCUUUCACUUAAAGGCAACUUGUUUAACCCAACCUAAUCACAAAAGUUUGAGAAAAUCAAAAUAUUAGCAAAAAGAUCACUCCCUCAUUUUGAUGAAGAGGAAAUCUUUUCUAUAAGAUAAACUCUUCAUUAUUAUUUAGAUGAUUUUAAAUUCUUCAGUGAAAGAAAAAUUAGCCAUAUGCAUUUGGCUUUCACACUUAAAUCUUCUGUUCUGAUCAUUGAAAAUUCAUUUUCAUGCCUCCCACCCUCGCUUCUUUUAACCCAGUCAGGGUCAGUGACAUAAUUUGCAGGGCCCAGUGUAAAAUGAAAAUGUGGAGACCCUUGUUCAAACUACAGGGGAAAAGUGCAGGUAAAGGUACUAAAAGAUAAAGUUUUUUCUUUUAAAACUAUUUUAUUACUUAUAAAACAUAAUAGGGUAAUAGUGAUACAUGAGUAACAACAUUUAUGUUACAACAUAUAAUGUUACAAAUUACAAAAAACAAUACUUUGAUGCCAUAAUUUUGUAUAAUACAAUAAAUAAUACUUUAUUAUAUCAACAUAUAUAUCAAUAUAUAAAUAUCUUGAUUGAUCAUAGAUUUUUGGAGGGGUCACUUUUCUGAAAAUUCAUUUAUUCAGCCAUCAAAACUUAUUUUAGCAACUUCAUUUUCAAUUGAUAUAGUUAAAAUAACAUCAGUUGCUCUUGACAAAUGCAAGACCACAAAUAGUUUAUAAUAAGUCUUAAUUUUAAGAAGGAUCUUUCUGCUAUUGCAACUGUUACUGGAGCUGUUAAGAAAGUUUUAUAGGCUGUAACAACAUUAGGAUAAAUUUCUGAUAAAUUAUUUUGAAACAAAUUUUAGUGUAUUUGAGCUAAUGAUUCUUGCAGAAAAAUUUUUCUGAAGAGAUUUACCUCUUCUUACAAAUCUGUUUUUUGCAAGUCUCAAUUUAGGAUUAAAUGUUAAUUUAUAUAAGCAUUUUAACUUUUCCCCUGACAUUUCCUGUAACUUGCCGAGGUUGUACAACAAGCUGAAAAUGGUUUCAGGAUUUGUAUAUAAUUUUAAAAGCCUGUCUAUGAAUUCUAAUGCAACUAUAUGUUCAAUCACAAGGAAAAGUAAUUUUACCAUUGUAAAUUGUAAUUAUUUUAAAUAAUUGGUCCAUGCAAGUUUUUUAAUGAAAAUAGUGGGUUUUCUCUGUGGAACGUGAGGAUCUUUAAAUUUAAUUUCUCUUUCCAAGCCUGUGGAUAUUUGUUACCUAAGGCUGCAGUGUUUUUCAAAACCAAAGGUUCUAAACUCUUUGAAGAAUUCUAAUAACUCUGACAUAGUUUAUUGCAAUGUCCAUGUGUAUACUUUUAUGUUGUAAUAAGUUACUGACCAAGUUUAUUACCUGAGUGUUCAGGCAAGAGAGUUGGUGUCUGUGCAGAUGCUUCAGGGGUGGGCUGCGGGGACUGAUGGGCACUUGGCCUCCCACCGUGUGGGCCAGCACUGCCCCUAUGUGGCUGCCUCCUUUCUUCCAGGGCCAGCUUCUGCUGCAGCUGUCUUCUUCGCGAUUAAUGUGGGCUCAGGUUCUGGUGCAAGCAGUCCCCUCAGGGACCCCUGGGGCCUCAGAUUGCUCUGUGUAUGUGUGUGUACAUGCCUGGGAUCCAGGCCAACUGCUCAGCAUGCAUGGUGUCCACUGUUGCCUGGCGGAUCUCCUGCACAGCUUUCAUUGUCCCAUUGGACUUCGAUUAUAAAACAGAAGUUUGAAGAUAGAAUUGUUAAGAAUUUCAGGAUGGUGAGAGCGGAGCAUUAAGCCAAACCUUUGCGAGCAGGGCCCUGUACAAGUUCACAGGUCACAUGCCCAUGAAACUACUCCUGAAUCCAGUUCUCAGCCAGGGCUGAAGUUUGCCCAUUGGGGUGGGCUACCUUGUGUUCUACCUGCGUGAGAUUCUGAAAGAAGCCCUGAAAGAAGAGCCUGUGAAAGAUGAGUGACAAGAUAUGUUACCAAAGUAGGUCCUCACCAGAGUCUGGCAUUCUAAGGCACAGAAGGUCAUCUUCUCCCCUCCACACGGUGGUUCUACAGUAGAAUCUCCGGGGAGACUCCAGUGCUGGACAGCUCCUAUCCCUGCUUCCAGCUGUACUCUUCUUUCUUGGGAGAGCUAGCCAACUCGAAUAGUGGGAGAAAAAGUGGUGACAGCAACUGACUUGGAAAUCACCCAAGUAAGAUUUUGUUGUUCAAGUAACAGUUCAAGAUGGGUUCAGUUUAGGGUGAGAUGUGGGGUACUCUGCUCCACAGUCAUUCAAGAAUCCAAGUUGCUGGUAGCUCUAAUAUCCUCAACUGGUGGCUUCAAGGUCACUGCAGGUGUUGACAUCCAGUGGCAAAUGUAGGCUCACACCUAGUCCAGAGCUUGGAUGUGAAACAGAUUGCUUCCUAUUCAAAUUCCAUUGGCCAGCACUCAGGAAUCUGGCUAUACUUAUGUACAUGAGGCCUGGAAAAUCUAGUCUAAUUCUGCACACAGGAUGAAGAGGAAGCAGUUUUGAUGAUCAGCUGCCAGCCUCUGCCACAAGAGAUGUGCAAAAAUGGGAGAUUUGGAGUCAAGUGUGUAUAACACGUCCCCAGCCCUUCUGAGACAGGUAUGGCUAUGGGAUGGGGACGUCUUCUGUUGAGGCAUACAGCUCUGAGAGAGUUUUCUAGCUGUGAUUCCUUGCACUCGCGGAUAGUGUUUGGUUCGUAUUACAGCUUACAUUCUGAGAAGAGCAUUCACGGAGCAUCCAGCAUCAGACUGAUGCCAAGCUGACUGACACUUCCAUUAUAAAUGAUCAAGCUGGCUUUUGCACAGCUCAGUCUUGAGUCAUCCUUCGUGUGAAUCAGCUGCUCAGUUAAGCUGAUCAUCAACAUUCUGUAGGCGCAGAUCGGAAAUGUCAGAUGCAGGACUAUGGAGGUAAAAGCAGCACUGAGAUUAUUCUAACCCUCUACCCACCUCACAUGAAACAAGAAAUUCAACAUUAUAAAUGGUAAACAAGUUGAGUGUAUAGCAUUAAAUACGCAAUGCCAGAAGUCUCAUUUAAAAUAAUCUGUGCAAUUCAGUGUCACGCAAACCACAUGAUAGAAUUAAUUUUGGUGAAUUUUAAUCUGAUUCUUGAUGGCAAGUAAGAGAGCUAUGACUAUAGGGCUAUCCUUCCCUAUUUCAGCUUGUCGAUAUUUUAGAGAAACAAGCUGGAGAAUUUGUUGAAAGAGGGCAUCAACUGACUGAGCAAAGCCCUACAGGUGGAGUUUCUGGAAUGGUCCUAGUUAAUGCCCGUUGCUGUGAUACAGUCAUUAAAAAUACCCCCUUUCACCCUCACAAGAGUCCUGGUUUGGAUGAUAAGUUAUACAGUAACCCUAUGACCAGGGGGCGGUCCCUUUAUGUGGCCACCACUGUUCACGGGCUGGUUUGCAAUUUUGCAGAACCAGCAGCUCAGGUCGUUAGGAUGAUCCAGGAUGGGAGGAGGCUGGGUCACACCAAGGAAAUUACAGGAGACUGAUGCUUAAACUAGAACACUGGGUUUACACUUACUAUGAAGAAUGUAACUGCCAAGCAGAGUAGAAACUAAUGUGGGUCUUUUAGUGUGUUCCCUCCCUUGAAGGGUGGUCUCCUUGGAAAGCCCAUUAUCAAAGUCAUCAUUCUUGAGGAUGAGGAGAUUCAAGGUGACCGAGAGAGGAGACGCUAUAAUCUGUAAGACAGGUUUUAAUACUUGGUACUCACACAAAGCAUAUCCUUUGUCCUACUAAGAGUUUUCCUUUAUAACCAGGAAUGUGGUCUUGGUUCUCUUUCCAAAGAGCUAUUUCGGGUAAGCAUCAGCUACAGGUAAAGAAUAGGGAUGUGUGGUUCCAAUCUACUCUCUGUUCUUUACUAACAUUAAGUCCCACGUUCUCUCACCCGUUUGCAAGCCCUGUCAAAGCCAGUGUCACGGGCAGAUAUCCCCUGAUGCCUGAGGUUCAGCCAGGAGCAGCCUUCUCCACUCCUUCUUUCCUAGCAACAUUGGAGGUUGCAGAGAUCCUAAAUAUUCACCACCAUCCUGCCCCACUCUCCCACUCCAGUUCCCAGUUGACAAUAGACACAAUGGCCAGGAGAGGAUUAAAAUCAGCUUUAUUA